UACGUUAAGAGAAAGAAGAAGGUAGGCCCAGCCAUCAAAAAGCCAUCUCCAGCUUAUAUAUCCUGUGGUGCAGAGACAAAUGGAACGAGGUAAAGAAAGAGAACCCACAAGCAGAGUUCAAAGAAACCUCAAAUAUAUUGGGAUUGAAAUGGAAGAACCUCAGCCCAGAAGAGAAGACGCCAUAUGA